GUGCCAGCAGCCGCGGUAAUACGAAGGGGGCUAGCAUUACUCGGAAUUACUGGGCGUAAAGCGUGCGUAGGCUGCUUAGUAAGUUGGAAGUGAAAUCCUGGAGCUCAACUCCAGAAUUGCUUUCAAAACUGCUUGGCUAGAGAUCUAGAGAGGAUAGCGGAAUUCCUAGUGUAGAGGUGAAAUUCGUAGAUAUUAGGAGGAACACCGGAAGCGAAAGCGGCUAUCUGGCUAGACACUGACGCUGUUGCACGAAAGCGUGGGGAUCAAACAGGAUUAGAAACCCGAGUAGUCC
rnacentral:rRNA from 1 species